UUGAAUUUGGUAAUAAUUCAAUCAUGGUAAAAAUAAAUUAGGAUAAAAAAAAUUAGUGUUAUGUCUUGGAGUAAAAAUAAGGGUGCAUUGAACUUAGCCAUGAUAUUUGAACUGGUAGGAUGAGAGUGAGUAGGAGAAAAAUUGAAAGAAAAGAAAAAAUAUAUCUCAAAAGUAGUUAAAAUGUGUAGAUAGAUAUAGGUGACUCUCGCUUCAAAAGUGAAAGUGCCUAAAGAGAUGAACGAUUUUUGGCCAAUUAAUAUGAUUGGAAGCAUCUAUAGAAGUAAUAUAAAAAUUUUUGGUCAAGAGAAUGAAAGGGGUGAUGAGCAGUUGUUUAGUUGGAGAGGUCCAAAUAGCAUUUAUUCAAGAUAGACAUUACUUGUGAAAUGGUAACAUGGCUGAAGAAAGACUAUGAGUAUUUUUCUGAUAGAUAACUCUUUGAUAGAGUUCAUUAAUAUAUGAGCUUAUUAGUUUUCCGCCAUCGAUUUGAAUAAUGGUCUCAAUUCCCAUGAGCAAAAGCUCUUAUCAUAAUGAAUGCAUUCGUUGGUUAAUAGGGGCAUCUCGAAAACGUCCGCAUCGAAAUAUAGCUUUCAAAUUAAGUUCCAAAGAAUUUAUAAAUAGAUAUAAAUCUUUGUUCUAGUCCUCCAUACUAAGAUAUAUUAUAAGGCCAGUGGAAGUCCCAUUCCCAUAUAGGGAUUGGAUAAUGAGUAAUAACCCCCAGUAGAGACUAGUACGAUUCCAUUCUACAUUUGUUUCAAGAGAUAUAUUGAUCACUUAUGAUUAUUUUUUCAUUGAUUCUUUUCCCCCAAUUUCUUUGCUACCAUGCGCUUUACGCAAUUGAUUGGAUCGUGUAGAUAUCCCUUCAGCACAAUGUAGGUCAACGAAAGGGUCUCGAAGACUCACCUGAAUUCCUUGUACUGCAGUACUAAUCAGUCAUAGUAUAUAUAGUGAAGAAGACUAUUUUACUUUGCAUUUUUUCAACCCAAUAAAUUAGAGCAAUAUGAUUAUGUCAUUAUUUUACGUAUAGACAAUUCCUCAAUAUCUUGUUCAAUUUGGAACAAAAUAGACAAAGGCAGAGUGUUAGAGUAUUUUUAUUGAUCGGUCAUGUCAUAUAGGCUCGAACCAUGAACGAAGAAAGACAUGAGAUAAAAGCAUACCAUAGAAAUAGGUCAAUAUCUCUAUUGGCAAUCAGGAGAAUUCCAAGUGCAUGCCUAAGUACUUAUAACUUCUUGGGUCGUAAUUGCUAUAAGUAAUGCAACUAGGAAUCUCAUAGAGAGUCGAUCCUGGCUUAGGAUGAAUGCUGGCGGCUGAACAUGAUGAGCUGUCUCGUAAUAAACCCACUUGUUGCUGAUAGUUUCUUCUCGGUCCCUUCUUGCAUAACCGAACUCGAAGAAGGAAGAGAUAAGAGGGCCGUAUGGAGUAUGUACUCAGAAAUCCGAUAUCUUGGCAGCAUUCCGAGUAACUUCUCAAUCUGGUGUUCCUUCGGAAGAAGCAGGUGCCAUAAACAAA